GGGAGCCGGGGCGGGCGGCGGGGGCUCGGGCCGCGGCGACCAGGCCUGCGGAGGCGCCGAGCCCCCAGAGCCGCAGUCCCCGCAAAAGAUGCAUGCCCAUGCCGGGAGCCCGGAACGAGCGGAAGGGGCCGACCCGAUGCGGCCGCGGUACCGGAUUCCGGCGAGCGACGCGGGCCCGGCGCGGGGAGGGCGGGUGGCUCCUCUCUGCGCUGCGACGCUCCGCCCCCUCCCCCGCCCCCGCUCCCGGCCGAGGCCCCCUGCAGCCUUUGGCGGCGCUCAGCUAUCUCCAGUGGCGCGGCCUUCACCAUCCACCAAGUUCGGAGGGAUGACAGUGUACACUGCCAAGAUAACUGGAUUGGAAGGGUUCCAGUUCAAGCUACAACACUUUUCCUGUUCCUCCACCCACCUCUGACCUCCGACCUCCAGGGCCUGCUGCUGAAUUGGCGUAUUUGUUCUGCCAGGCUCCUUCUGUGUGGGGACACGGCUGCGAGCCCUGGUCUGAGAAGAUCCCACAUGCUGCAGAGCAACUAAGCCCGUGCGUCACAACUACUGAGCCCAUGUGCCACAGCUACUGAAGCCCGCACACCUAGAGCCCGUGCUCCACGACAAAACAAGCCACAGCAAUGAGAAGCCCGCACACCACAAGGAAGAGUAGCCCCUGCUCAACGUGACUAGAGAAAGCCCAUGUGCAGCAAGGAAGACCCAACACAGCCAAAAAUAAAUAAAUAAAUA